rnacentral:rRNA from 1 species
UACGUAGGGGGCUAGCGUUGUCCGGAUUUAUUGGGCGUAAAGAGCGUGUAGGCGGCUUGGCAAGUCUGCUGUGAAAACUCGAGGCUCAACCUCGAGCUGUCGGUGGAAACUGCUUGGCUAGAGUCCGGAAGAGGAGAGUGGAAUUCCUGGUGUAGCGGUGAAAUGCGCAGAUAUCAGGAAGAACACCUAUGGCGAAGGCAGCUCUCUGGGACGGUACUGACGCUGAGACGCGAAAAGCGUGGGGAGCGAACAGG